rnacentral:rRNA from 1 species
AGAGUUUGAUCCUGGCUCAGAUUGAACGCUGGCGGCAUGCCUAACACAUGCAAGUCGAACGGCAGCACAGCAGUAGCAAUACUGUGGGUGGCGAGUGGCGGACGGGUGAGUAAUGCAUCGGGAUCUACCCAAACGUGGGGGAUAACGUAGGGAAACUUACGCUAAUACCGCAUACGUCCUACGGGAGAAAGCGGGGGACCGAAAGGCCUCGCGCGGUUGGACGAACCGAUGUGCGAUUAGCUAGUUGGUAGGGUAAUGGCCUACCAAGGCGACGAUCGCUAGCUGGUCUGAGAGGAUGAUCAGCCACACUGGAACUGAGACACGGUCCAGACUCCUACGGGAGGCAGCAGUGGGGAAUAUUGGACAAUGGGCGCAAGCCUGAUCCAGCAAUGCCGCGUGUGUGAAGAAGGCCUUCGGGUUGUAAAGCACUUUUAUCAGGAGCGAAAUACCACGGGUUAAUACCCUAUGGGGCUGACGGUACCUGAGGAAUAAGCACCGGCUAACUUCGUGCCAGCAGCCGCGGUAAUACGAAGGGUGCAAGCGUUAAUCGGAAUUACUGGGCGUAAAGCGUGCGUAGGCGGUUUGUUAAGUCUGUUGUGAAAUCCCCGGGCUCAACCUGGGAAUGGCAAUGGAUACUGGCAAGCUAGAGUGUGAUAGAGGAUGGUGGAAUUCCCGGUGUAGCGGUGAAAUGCGUAGAGAUCGGGAGGAACAUCAGUGGCGAAGGCGGCCAUCUGGAUCAACACUGACGCUGAGGCACGAAAGCGUGGGGAGCAAACAGGAUUAGAUACCCUGGUAGUCCACGCCCUAAACGAUGCGAACUGGAUGUUGGUCUCAACUCGGAGAUCAGUGUCGAAGCUAACGCGUUAAGUUCGCCGCCUGGGGAGUACGGUCGCAAGACUGAAACUCAAAGGAAUUGACGG